UACGUAGGUGGCGAGCGUUGUCCGGAUUUAUUGGGUUUAAAGGGUGCGUAGGCGGCCUGGUAAGUCAGGGGUGAAAGACGGUAGCUUAACUAUCGCAGUGCCCUUGAUACUGCUGGGCUUGAAUGUAGUUGAGGUAGGCGGAAUGUGACAAGUAGCGGUGAAAUGCAUAGAUAUGUCACAGAACACCAAUUGCGAAGGCAGCUUACUAAAGUAUGAUUGACGCUGAGGCACGAAAGCGUGGGGAUCAAACAGG
rnacentral:rRNA from 1 species